GAUGAACGCUGGCGGCGUGCCUAACACAUGCAAGUCGAACGGAAAGGCCCUGCUUUUGUGGGGUGCUCGAGUGGCGAAGGGGGGAGUAACACGUGAGUAACCUGCCCUUGACUUUGGGAUAACUUCAGGAAACUGGGGCUAAUACCGGAUAGGAGAUCAUGCAGCAGGGGGGGGGUUGGAAAGUUUCGGCGUUUGGGGAUGGACUCGCGGCUUAUCAGCUGGUUGGUGGGGUAGUGGCGGCCCAAGGCUUUGACGGGUAGGCGGCCUGGGAGGGUGGCCGGCCACAUUGGGACUGAGGGACGGCCCAGACGCCUACGGGAGGCAACAGUCGGAAAUCUUGCACAGCGAGCCCGCGCCUGAUGCGAAGACCCCGCGUUCGUAAUGCCCGCCUUCGGGUUAUGAACCGCUUUCGCCUGUGACGAAGCGUUAGUGACGGUAAUGAGUAAAGAAGCACCGGCUAACUACGUG
rnacentral:rRNA from 1 species